CAGAUCAGGCGAGACUACCCGCUGAAUUUAAGCAUAUUAAUAGGCGGAGGAAAAGAAACUAACGAGGAUUCCCCAAGUAGCGGCGAGCGAACAGGGAGAAGCCCAGCACGGAAUCCCGUGCGGCGACGCACAGGGAGAUGUCGUGUGUGGGAGGUUCCACUUUGCCGGGAGUCAGCAGCGAGUCCAAGUCUCCCUUGAACGGGGCCACAGCCCGUAGAGGGUGCCAGGCCCGUAGAGACCGCGGCUGCUCUCGGGAGGAACUCUCCUCAGAGUCGUGUUCCUUGAGAGUGGAGCACUAAGAGGGUGGUAAACUCCAUCUAAGGCUAAAUAUGACCACGAGACCGAUAGCGAACAAGUACCGUGAGGGAAAGUUGAAAAGAACUUUGAAGAGAGAGUUCAACAGUACGUGAAACCGUUCAGGGGUAAACGGGAGAGAUCCGAAAGGUCGAAAGGGGGAGACUCAAUCCCGUCCGCUAGUCUGGUGCCGUUCUCGGUCCCACGGAUGCUGCCGGCCGCCGGUCGCGUCGCAAGGCGCGAACCGGGUCGGAGUCGGUGACACCGGGGCUGGAGGCCCAGCUGCGGCGAGGUGCACUUCUCCCCCGAGUAGGACGUCGCGACCCGUUGGGCACGUCCGGCCUAAGGCCCGGGAUGAGGCCGAGGAGACUGCCGCGCAAUCGCGCGGGUCAACGGUCUCCCGGACCCUGGAUGUCCUGGCCGGCGCCCGACGGUAUGCUUCGAGGAGAAGGCCCGCUCCCUCGCAGAGCGAGCGUCCGGCCUGGGGGCAAGCUCGACGCUGGGUACGUGGUGCCGUGGCUUCCGCCACGUCCCCGUCCCCCGUUGGCUGUUGGUCCCCGGAGUCCUCGGACGGUGGCCGUCUCCCGUCUGCGGCGCUUCUGCUUCGGAUGCUUUCCCGACCCGUCUUGAAACACGGACCAAGGAGUCUAACAUGUG
rnacentral:rRNA from 1 species